AGGCCAUGAUGGGGGAACUGUCUGAGCAUACUCUUGAAUCUAUCUCAAGCUUCAAAUAAUGAUUCUAAGUCCACCUGUUUGAAGCUUGCAAUCAAGUUCCUCAUGUGGAU